rnacentral:misc_RNA from 1 species
GUAGGUGAACCUGCGGAAGGAUCAUUAACGUGGGGCUUCGGCCCCGCCGAGAUAGAACCCUUGCCUUUUGUAUACCGUCCGUUUCCUCGGCAGGCUCGCCUGCCAAUGGGGACCAUAAUAAACCUUUGUAAUAACCUGUAAUUGUCUGAUCAAAAAAUUAAAUUUAAAACUUUUAACAACGGAUCUCUUGGUUCUG